AGAAUUCUAGGAGCUGUAGUUUGUUAAGGGCACGGAGAGUUGUUAGGAGACUACAGCUCCCAGAAUUCU